rnacentral:tRNA from 1 species
UGGCUCAGAGGUUAAAGCGACCGCCUGCAAUGCGGGAGACCCGGGUUCAAUCCCUGG